rnacentral:rRNA from 1 species
GGACAACCUACCCUUGGGACGGGGAUAAACCCGGGAAACUGGGUAUAAUACCCGAUAGUGCUCGACUGCUGGAAUGCAUCGAGUACGAAAGCUCCGGUGCCCAAGGAUGGGUCUGCGGCCUAUCAGGUAGUAGUGGGUGUAGCGUACCUACUAGCCUACGACGGGUACGGGUUGUGAGAGCAAGAGCCCGGAGAUGGAUUCUGAGACACGAAUCCAGGCCCUACGGGGUGCAGCAGGCGCGAAAACUUUACAAUGCUGGAAACAGCGAUAAGGGAACCUCGAGUGCCAGGUUACAAAUCUGGCUGUCGUGAUGCCUAAAAAGCAUUGCAUAGCAAGGGCCGGGCAAGACCGGUGCCAGCCGCCGCGGUAACACCGGCGGCUCGAGUGGUAACCGUUAUUAUUGGGUCUAAAGGGUCUGUAGCCGGCCGGAUAAGUCUCUUGGGAAAUCUGGCAGCUUAACUGUCAGGCUUUCAGGAGAUACUGUCUGGCUCGAGGCCGGGAGAGGUGAGAGGUACUUCAGGGGUAGGGGUGAAAUCUUGUAAUCCUUGAAGGACCACCAGUGGCGAAGGCGUCUCACCAGAACGGACCUGACGGCAAGGGACGAAAGCUAGGGGCACGAACCGGAUUAGAUACCCGGGUAGUCCUAGCCGUAAACGAUACUCGCUAGGUGUCGGCCACGGUGCGACCGUGGUCGGUGCCGUAGGGAAGCCGUGAAGCGAGCCACCUGGGAAGUACGGCCGCAAGGCUGAAACU